UACGUAGGUCCCGAGCGCUGUCCGGAUUUAUUGGGUUUAAAGGGUGCGUAGGCGGAUUGAUAAGUUAGAGGUGAAAUGUCCGAGCUCAACUCGGGAACUGCCUCUAAUACUGUUGAUCUAGAGAGUAGAUGCGGUAGGCGGAAUGUAUGGUGUAGCGGUGAAAUGCUUAGAGAUCAUACAGAACACCGAUUGCGAAGGCAGCUUACCAAUCUAUAUCUGACGUUGAGGCACGAAAGCGUGGGGAGCAAACAGG
rnacentral:rRNA from 1 species